AUUGAACGCUGGCGGCAUGCCUUACACAUGCAAGUCGAACGCGAAAGGGGGGCAACCCCCGAGUAGAGUGGCGGACGGGUGAGUAAUACAUCGGAACGUACCCAGUAGUGGGGGACAACCUCGAGAAAUCGAGGCUAAUACCGCAUACGACCUACGGGUGAAAGCGGGGGACCGCAAGGCCUCGCGCUAUUGGAGCGGCCGAUGUCCGAUUAGCUAGUUGGUAGGGUAAAAGCCUACCAAGGCGACGAUCGGUAGCUGGUCUGAGAGGACGACCAGCCACACUGGGACUGAGACACGGCCCAGACUCCUACGGGAGGCAGCAGUGGGGAAUUUUGGACAAUGGGGGCAACCCUGAUCCAGCCAUGCCGCGUGCGGGAAGAAGGCCUUCGGGUUGUAAACCGCUUUCGGCCGGAACGAAAUCGCCGGGGAGAACAUCCCCGGUGGAUGACGGUACCGGAAGAAGAGGCACCGGCUAACUACGUGCCAGCCGCCGCAGUAAAAC
rnacentral:rRNA from 1 species